rnacentral:rRNA from 1 species
AGCGAACGCUGGCGGCAGGCCUAACACAUGCAAGUCGAACGGAUCCUUCGGGAUUAGUGGCGGACGGGUGAGUAACACGUGGGAACGUGCCCUUUGGUUCGGAACAACUCAGGGAAACUUGAGCUAAUACCGGAUGUGCCCUUCGGGGGAAAGAUUUAUCGCCAUUGGAGCGGCCCGCGUCUGAUUAGCUAGUUGGUGAGGUAAAGGCUCACCAAGGCUACGAUCAGUAGCUGGUCUGAGAGGAUGAUCAGCCACAUUGGGACUGAGACACGGCCCAAACUCCUACGGGAGGCAGCAGUGGGGAAUCUUGCGCAAUGGGCGAAAGCCUGACGCAGCCAUGCCGCGUGAAUGAUGAAGGUCUUAGGAUUGUAAAACUCUUUCACCGGGGACGAUAAUGACGGUACCCGGAGAAGAAGCCCCGGCUAACUUCGUGCCAGCCGCCGCGGUAACAC